rnacentral:rRNA from 1 species
AUUGAACGCUGGCGGCGUGCUUUACACAUGCAAGUCGGACGAGUGGCGAACGGGUGAGUAACGCAUCGGAAAGUACCGAGUAAUGGGGGAUAACUGUCCGAAAGGACAGCUAAUACCGCAUAUUAUUCGAGCUGCCGAUGUCUGAUUAGCUGGUUGGCGGGGUAAAGGCCCACCAAGGCUACGAUAAGUAGCGGGUCUGCUAGGAUGAUCGGCGCCACUGGGACUGAUACACGGCCCAGACUCCUACGGUAGGCAGCAGUGGGGAAUUUUGGACAAUGGGCGCAAGCCUGAUCCAGCCAUGCCGCUUGUCUGAAGAAGGCCUUCGGGUUGUAAAGGACUUUUGUCAGGGAAGCGGUACCUGAAGAAUAAGCACCGGCUAACUACGUGCCAGCCGCCACGGUAAUUC